rnacentral:rRNA from 1 species
AUUGAACGCUGGCGGCAUGCUUUACACAUGCAAGUCGAGCGGCAGCGCGGGGCUUUGGGCAACUGAAGUUUUGGCGGCGAGCGGCGAACGGGUGAGUAACACAUCGGAACGUACCGACAAGUGGGGAGUAGCUCGGCGAAAGACCGGAUUAAUACCGCAUAUGCUGUGCGCAGGAAAGCUGGGGCUCUGUGAGGACCUGGUGCUUGUUGAGCGGCCGAUGUCCGAUUAGCUAGUUGGUGGGGUAAA